AUGUGUCGGAGUGUGAAUGGUGUAGGCAAAGUCACUUUUGGAAAAGGAACGGUGCUUUCGGUCAUACCAGAUGUUACUCCAUCUCCUUCAGUCUACAGGCUGAUCUCUAAAGAUGAUGAGGAUUUGGAAAUGUGCCUUAUCACAGAUUACUCCCCUGAAAAGCUUAAGAGUAAGGCUGAUAAGCAGACAACUGCCCUCGUGGACGUGGCAACACCCGAGAACAAUCAGGAAGUGAGCUACCUGUCAACCUACUGGGCCAAGAAAGAUGAAAUGGAGUGUGGUGCAAAUCAUGAGGGCGUUGGAGAACUGAAGGGCGAGGAUCCUGAAAGUGGUGCCAGCACUGUCUGUGUUACAGAGGUGUCUCUAAACUUCAGGACAGAUGAAAACCUGAACAUGCUGUCUUUAUCACAUCUGGGCCUGAAAGUAAUUUUAAUGAAAGCAAUAAUUUUUAAUGUGCUGAUGACGAUGCUUAUGUGGAAAAAAAAGAAUGCAAGUAAUUAGAUAGUGCAGUCCUGAAUUACCAAAAAAUCUGCUGAGGAAUCUUUACCAGAGCAUCGUGUGCAAGAGGGAACACAGGCAUUCCUGUUGCAAGGGAUAUCACUUGCCGUUUCUGGAUAUCACACCAGCCAUUAUAGUCUAAAUUGCUUUAUUUGCAUUGUUAUAAAGCUACUUAAAAACAAGCUUAAAAUUUUGCUGCUCCAGAUGCCUGAUUCAUUUAGCAUGACAAUGCUUCUUUUUGCAUGAAGCAUAGUUUGCUGUAACUAUAAACUGCCAAACAUCACUAUUAUUUGCAUUAAAAUGACACACAAUUUCUGCUUGGGGCAGUGUUCUUUCUUGAAAACUUCAAGCUAAAUAUCACUUGAAUGUUAAUUUUUCGUAUUUUGGUAGCUUUCAGGUAUGCACUCCUUAGAGUGCACCCCCACAGACACCAUUUCAGCUGCAAAUGAAACACUCACUCUGAAA